GAUGAACGCUAGCGGCAGGCCUAACACAUGCAAGUCGAGGGAGGAGCUUUCGGGCUUCGACCGGCGUACGGGUGCGUAACGCGUAUACAAUCUGCCUUUCACAUAGGGAUAGCCCGAAGAAAUUUGGAUUAAUACCUAAUAGUAUAUAGAUGUGGCAUCACAUUUAUAUUAAAGCUGAGGCGGUGAAAGAUGAGUAUGCGUUCUAUUAGCUAGUUGGAGAGGUAACGGCUCCCCAAGGCGACGAUAGAUAGGGGUUCUGAGAGGGAUAUCCCCCACACUGGUACUGAGAUACGGACCAGACUCCUACGGGAGGCAGCAGUGAGGAAUAUUGGACAAUGGUCGGAAGACUGAUCCAGCCAUGCCGCGUGCAGGAAGACGGCCUUAUGGGUUGUAAACUGCUUUUGCAGGGGAAGAAUAAGGAGUACGUGUACUUUGAUGACGGUACUCUGCGAAUAAGCAUCGGCUAACUCCGUGCCAGCAGCCGCGGUAAUACGGAGGAUGCGAGCGUUAUCCGGAAUCAUUGGGUUUAAAGGGUCCGUAGGCGGGCUAAUAAGUCAGAGGUGAAAGCGCUCAGCUCAACUGAGCAACUGCCUUUGAAACUGUUAGUCUUGAAUGGUUGUGAAGUAGUUGGAAUGUGUAGUGUAGCGGUGAAAUGCUUAGAUAUUACACAGAACACCGAUAGCGAAGGCAUAUUACUAACAAUUAAUUGACGCUGAUGGACGAAAGCGUGGGGAGCGAACAGG
rnacentral:rRNA from 1 species